GCCCAGGUAGCUUAGUGGUAGAGCGCGUGGCUGUUAACCACGAGGCCGGAGGUUCGACCCCUCCCCUGGGCG
rnacentral:tRNA from 1 species